AUGAAGUUCAACCCCUUCAUGACCUCGGACCGCAGCAAGAACUGCAAGCGCCACUUCAAUGCUCCCUCGCACGUGCGCAGGAAGAUCAUGUCGUACCAGGUGUCCCAGGAGCUGCGGUGGAAGUAUAACGUGCGCUCCAUGCCCAUCCGCAAGGACUACGAGGUCCAAGUGGUUCGAGGACACUACUAAAGAUCAGCAGAUUGGCAAGGUAGUUCAGGUGUACAGAAAGAAGUAUGUCAUCUACAUUAGAGGGUGCAGCAUGAGAAGGCUAAUGGGACAACUGUCCGUGUGGGCAUUCACCCAAGCAAGGUGGUUAUCACCAGGCUCAAACUGGACAAAGAUCGGGAAAAAAAAUUCUUGAACACAAAGCCAAAUCCAACAAGUUGGAAAAGAGAAAGGCAAAAUAAGGAAGGACUUAUUGAGAAAAUGCACAUCUCUGCCUCCAUCUCAGCCAUCACUGCUUAUCUGGGAAGGGUCCCACUCUCACUAG